GCCUGGCUAGCUCAGUUGGUAGAGCAUGUGACUCUUGCUCUCAGGGCUGUGAGUUCAAGCCCCACACUGGGCA